AUUGAACGCUGGCGGCAGGCCUAACACAUGCAAGUCGAGCGGAUGACGGGAGCUUGCUCCUUGAUUCAGCGGCGGACGGGUGAGUAAUGCCUAGGAAUCUGCCUAUUAGUGGGGGACAACAUUCCGAAAGGAAUGCUAAUACCGCAUACGCCCUACGGGGGAAAGCAGGGGAUCUUCGGACCUUGCGCUAAUAGAUGAGCCUAAGUCGGAUUAGCUAGUUGGUGGGGUAAAGGCCUACCAAGGCGACGAUCUGUAGCGGGUCUGAGAGGAUGAUCCGCCACACUGGGACUGAGACACGGCCCAGACUCCUACGGGAGGCAGCAGUGGGGAAUAUUGGACAAUGGGCGGAAGCCUGAUCUAGCCAUGCCGCGUGUGUGAAGAAGGCCUUUUGGUUGUAAAGCACUUUAAGCGAGGAGGAGGCUACUUAGAUUAAUACUCUAGGAUAGUGGACGUUACUCGCAGAAUAAGCACCGGCUAACUCUGUGCCAGCCGCCGCAGUAACAC
rnacentral:rRNA from 1 species